rnacentral:lncRNA from 1 species
GUACAAUACUAACCCUCCCUCCAUUUUGUGUGGUUUUGGUUAUCAUGCAGAGAUUUAUGCAGGCAGACACGAGGCUGGAUGCUGUUUCUCACUACUUUCUUAUACAUCCAGGUAAAUAAAAGAUUCCCGGAUUGGUACCAGCAAGAGUUCUUGAUUAUUUCUUCUACUCAAAACAAUGCAGAGGAACGGUGGCGGGGCUCCUUGAUCGUCUGGGCCCGGUACAUAAGAUAGCAAUGAACAUCACCACUUGCCUUGCACAGGGAGUGCAGGCAGGGAGACGUGGAGGCGGAAAUAAAAGCAGGUAAGGUAAUUUAUUAAAUAAAUAA